rnacentral:rRNA from 1 species
CACGCCGUAAACGAUGAUAACUAGCUGUCCGGGUACUUGGUACUUGGGUGGCGCAGCUAACGCAUUAAGUUAUCCGCCUGGGGAGNACGCGCAGAACCUUACCAGCGUUUGACAUGGUAGGACGGCUUCCAGAGAUGGAUUCCUUCCCUUCGGGGACCUACACACAGGUGC